AGCAGCCGCGGUAACACCGGCGGCCCGAGUGGUGAUCGUGAUUAUUGGGUCUAAAGGGUCCGUAGCCGGUUUGGUCAGUCCUCCGGGAAAUCUGAUAGCUCAACUAUUAGGGCUUUCGGGGGAUACUGCCAGACUUGGAACCGGGAGAGGUAAGAGGUACUACAGGGGUAGGAGUGAAAUCUUGUAAUCCCUGUGGGACCACCUGUGGCGAAGGCGUCUUACCAGAACGGGUUCGACGGUGAGGGACGAAAGCUGGGGGCACGAACCGGAUUAGAUACCCGGGUAGUCCCAGCCGUAACGAUGCUCGCUAGGUGUCAGGCAUGGCGCGACCGUGUCUGGUGCCGCAGGGAAGCCGUGAAGCGAGCCACCUGGGAAGUACGGCCGCAAGGCUGAAACUUAAAGGAAUUGGCGGGGGAGCACAACAACGGGUGGGGGCCUGCGGUUUAAUUGGACUCAACGCCGGACAACUCACCGGGGGCGACAGCAAUAUGUAGGCCAAGCUGAAGACUUUGCCUGAAUCGCUGAGGGGUGGUGCAUGG
rnacentral:rRNA from 1 species